rnacentral:lncRNA from 1 species
AUGCAGAGUCCUUCUCUCACAACGUCUCAAAGACAGGAUUUGCAUGUCUGAAAGGCCAAGAAGGGAACUGAGAAGGACCUGCCUCCAGUCACCAGAAGAAGGACAAGAGUUGUAAACUGCUGAUGCAAAUAGACAGAAGCAGCUCUUCCACUGGCAAGGUGUACAGCAUAUAUGUUGUGCCUUUGGUGACAGAAAUGAGGAUUAAAAGCACUGAAGUUUCUGCAACUCCAUCUCUUCAAGCACUUUCUGAUAAUUCUACCAUGAAAUUAAAAAAACAGCAGGACCAGAGCAAACCUCACUGCUCCCCAGCAUCCUGCAUGGAGUCAGUGUCCCAUCGUGCCACUCUGUUGUCUCGGUGGUCAGAAUUCAGGUUCAUCUGCAGUGAGGUGCGCUGCAUCCCUGCCUUCCCUCACAGAUCACAAGAAGCCUGUCCUUGAAUGGGGUAAAUAAGGCCAAGCUUGUUAUUUGCUCUGUGGGACUGUUCUCCGCAAAGGAGACACACGCAGCCUUUGGAGAGCCACACUGAGCGUCCGGGCUGAUCUCCAGCACUGCUGCUGAUCGUCCUUGGUGCAUCGUUGCACUCCUCUGGUCUGUCUGGCAGCAGCCACUAGCACAACAACUAAUGUGCUAAGAGUCUUCCUGUCCUUUGGAGUCAGCUAAGCCCUAGAUGGUAACUGGUGCGCACUGUGUGGCUUUCUGUAGCGUUACUGCUGCAUUUAAGCUCUCCUCAGACUGGCGAUGUUCUGUUGAUUUCCUUAAUUCAGGCACUUAUCCCCCAAUGGUUUCACUUUCCUUUGGAUGAUAAUAGCAGGGAAGCUCUGCAACCGCCAGCAGAGCUGGGGGCUGAGGAAAUGCUACAAAAUCACCUCUCUCCCAGAAAUUGUUUUGUCUGCUGGCUUAACGGGAGCACUCUGGCUGCACAGCGGGUUAGAGGUUUUACCCCUAUUAUACUCACUUAAACUGCCACCUUUUUCUCAGUACUGACAUCAUUAGCUAUGACAUGUUGCUGAAGCUUUUCCACAGAGGUGACCCAGUCCUUGCUGAAGCUAUCAGACAAAGCUAAAAGCCAUAUAUAUAUAUAUAUAUGUUUAACUCUCUUCUUUCCAAUAUUGCUCACCCUGAAGCCAUGAGAGGUGCACAUCUAAUCCCACUAACUCCUUUCUGGUCCUUCUGUGCCACCAUAGCUAGAUGUGGAUUUCCAGUCCUGGCAUGCUUUCCUCACCCAGAAGUCCAUACUAGAGGUAUUUGCUAACCGUAUAGCAAUGUGAUGCCUGGAUUUGGUGAGGGAAGAGCCAGAGGGAAAAGACCUGUCAGAGGAAGAAGACCUGUCUUCUGCUGAAAAGGGAAAUCUUCACUUCCCAUACAGUUCAAACAGGAAGUUACACAUUUUUUUUUCUAUUCAUAAAACAUAAACAAAGCCAAAGGAAAAAAAAAUCAUUCUUCAGUGAUAGAAUUCUUGUAGGAGUACUGUACUGUGUCACUUGUCCUUGCAUUUAAAGGACCAGGCAGCAGUGAGCAGGGUAAGGUCACCCUCAGACUGGGACCUCUGCGAGCACCCCCAUUCCUAGGCAGGAGGCAUGGCAGGGUGCUGAGACUCACACCUCACUCAGGUGUCAUUGGCAGAUGUUCAAACCCCACAGAGCACAAGGAGCACCCUCAGCCUGCCCUCACUUCCCUCUGCUCUGUGACAUGUCACACAUGCCUUUCUUUACGUGUUUGCUGGGGAACAGAGGGCUGCCACCGUGCCCCCAGCAGCAACCAUGCAGCAGCAGCAGGGAUGCUUUGUCCCCCACUGCCACACACCUCCUCGCUUCCUUCUCCAUCUGAGACAUCACCUGGGCUUUUAGCAGCUGCCUGCAGCAAAGGAGAAUCCUGGUUUAUGAACACACUCACAAUUGCUGCAGUUCCAGCCAGGAAUAAACUGCUCUUAACCUAAAUACUCCUCUGAGGA